GGAUAUAUUAAACAUAUGGACAAAACUGAUGUUCGUACUACUACUACACCCACCUUAAGAAAGGUCACUCUAACUUUAUUACUAGAAGAUGGAAACGAAAUACCUGCAACAUUAUGGGCAGAACAAGCAGAACUCUUGGAAGACAAAUAUCGUGGAGUGGAAAAUAAUAAUAUUGUACUCAUCAUGACAAGCGUCUUGGUCAAGAUAUAUCAAAGUGAAAUAUAUUUGUCAGCAUCCUCAGGCACUAAAUUUUACUUGAAUCAUGAUUCUGAUCCGGUUGAUGCUUUCCGAAAAAGUUUGAGGUAUAAUGGAGAAUGUUUGGUUAAUCUGGGUGACAUAACUAAACAAAAUAAACGCCCAGAAGACCAACAAUCAAUUAAUGAUAUUUGGGAAUAUGUCUCAUCAGAUGACCGUAA